rnacentral:rRNA from 1 species
GACAGAGGAUGCAAGCGUUAUCCGGAAUGAUUGGGCGUAAAGCGUCUGUAGGUGGCUUUCAAGUCCGCCGUCAAAUCCCAGGGCUCAACCCUGGACAGGCGGUGGAAACUACCAAGCUGGAGUACGGUAGGGGCAGAGGGAAUUUCCGGUGGAGCGGUGAAAUGCAUUGAGAUCGGAAAGAACACCAACGGCGAAAGCAGCUCUAGCUGGGCCGACACUGACACUGAGAGACGAAAGCUAGGGGAGCAAAUGGG